rnacentral:rRNA from 1 species
UACAGAGGUCUCAAGCGUUGUUCGGAUUCAUUGGGCGUAAAGGGUGCGUAGGCGGCGCGGUAAGUCGGGUGUGAAAUCUCGGAGCUUAACUCCGAAACUGCAUUCGAUACUGCCGUGCUUGAGGACUGGAGAGGAGACUGGAAUUUACGGUGUAGCGGUGAAAUGCGUAGAUAAUCGUGAGGAAGACCGGUGGCGAAAGGCGGAUCUCUGGACAGUUCC